rnacentral:rRNA from 1 species
GACAGAGGGUGCGAACGUUGUUCGGAAUUACUGGGCGUAAAGCGCGUGUAGGCGGCAGCGUGUGUCGGGCGUGAAAUCCCACGGCUCAACCGUGGAAGUGCACUCGAAACUGCGCAGCUAGAGUCCUGGAGAGGAAGGUGGAAUGCUUGGUGUAGAGGUGAAAUUCGUAGAUAUCAAGCGGAACACCGGUGGCGAAGGCGGCCUUCUGGACAGUGACUGACGCUGAGACGGCGAAAGCGUGGGAGCAAACAGGG